rnacentral:misc_RNA from 1 species
AACUGGCUCAGAAACAAAUGAGGUCCUCACUUGUCUUCUUAUUUAGAUAUUAUUAAGAGUUUGUUUAGAUUGCCUUUACAAUACCCACAUUGUGAAGCUAUCAGAAGCAUCUUUCCUUGAAGCUUAUAAUGUUUGGCCCCAGAUGUUGCUUGUUAUUUCAUCUUUUAAUGGAUAAGUAGAUUUUAUCUCUUUCAUCUAUCUUGUUUAUAAACAUUUGAUGCUACCUGGGAGAUUAGCUUUGCACAUUUCUUUAGUCAUUUUCUGGCGUUAGCUGGAGAGAUGACCUCAGAUGUUUAGGAAACAAGACGAGAUGCAUCAACAUAGAUGAAUUUUGGGUGAUCAGACUACAUGAUCCUCUUCCCUUUUUUCCUUUAAUUGGCUUGAAAAAGCUUCAAUAACUCGUUACAGAGCUGUAGAAUUGAAUGGAACUACUCUAAAAUUAGAAGUUCAGGAUUUUAUCCGAUUCUUUUAAUUUUAUUAUACACGGAUUUAGUUUCUUGUUACUAUUUAACUAUCAUCAAUUCUCCAUCCAAAUCAACUGUUAAAUAGUUGGUAUGUUAAUCAAACUAAAGCAUUAGGAUCCACAAUGUAAGUUUAGGAGCUCAAAUUCAGGUCAUGUGCUUAAACACUACUUUUUUUCUUAAAAUAGAAAAACAAAAAUUAUAUUUUAAAAGGAAAGGAAAAAAAAAUUGCAACAGUUAGGUUUGCACAUUAUAUAAAGUAGCUACUGAUUCAAGAUCUAAACAGUAUAGAACCAUGAUGUUUAAACUUUAUGAAGAGUGAUUUUCAAACGCAAAACUCUCAAGUGAUCAACUUUGAGACCAUCAGCCAACUCUUGAGGGUAGAUAUUGCUACUGGGUUAACAAUGGAGGCCUAGCCUUAGCCCCAUUCACCAUUUAGGAGUUCAAAUGGUUGGUCAGGCCUAUUCAGGUUGAAACUUGGUUUGGCAGGGUUGUCUGGGCCCAACCCUGCCAAACCAAAAUGUUAGCGCCCCAGUUCUUUGACCAAGCCCAGCCCAGGUAAAUUUAAAACAUAUAAUAAUAUAUUUAUUUUAUUAUUUGGCAAGUGGAAAAAUCUUUGCCCUAGCCUCAUGUUUUUGUGGGUUGCGUAGGGUGUGUUUUCAAGCUUGUAAACAUGCAUAUUCAAAGUUUAAAAAAAUCUAAUAUUUGAAUGACAACACAAAAAACAAAAAGAAAAUGUGGGAUGAAAAGAACUAGGGUGUUCUAAAAUUUUGGCUACUCCCAUUUGCUAUUCAUAUACAGCCUUGCCCAUAUACAUACAUAUUGCAAGCAGCAGAAAAAAAAUUAAUCUGACAAUUACACAGGUCAAUACAACUAAAACAAGUAAUCUCAAAGAAACCGCCAUAAGAAUUUCAAUGGUCAAGCUAUUGUCUAAAGUUGACAUUUGCUGUACAUCAUUAUUCCUAGAACAUAUAUGUCACGAAAAAAAAAAUCCAAGGGAAGGUUUAAGGUAAUUACUGUUCUCCAUUAGCAAACAUGAUGUCAAAGACAAAUACACAAAUCUCGAUCUUUAUAUCAUUCAUUGCGAUAAAGGAAUCUUUGCUCCCUCUCUCCCUUGAUGAUAGUUCUUGGAACGACAUGAGCUUGCAGCCAUUUUUUCUAUCAACUGCAACUACCUCUGCAUCCACUAUGAAAGUCACUGCAGCAGAUUUACAAGAUUCCUUCAUUAUAUUGAUCAAAUCCGGAAAUCUUGAUGUUGUUUCAUCCCCGUUUCGUGAAAAUACACGCAAAGUGCCAUUUGGUAGUUUGUGAAUUUGGGCACGCUGACCAUCGUAUUUGUAUUCACAUGUAAAAGCUUUAUCUUGAAAGAGUUUCAGUGCUUGGGAAACUCCGUUUGUAAUUUUUGCAAGCAUGGGUUUAAUAGGUACGCCUGGCACCAUUGACAAAGUUGAUGAUGAAAAUUCAAUGCCUUUACUUAUGAGAGAGGGAACGAUCAAAUCCAAAUCUGGAAGUAUAUUAUACACUUCAACAACUGCCGUGGAUAGGUACUGGAGUUUCUCCUUCAAACUUUCAGCUUUUUGUUCAUCAGAAGAAUUAACCAAGGAAUUCAUAGCAACAGCUUGAGCCAAUGCAGGUAGAACAGUUCUCAUCAUUGCUCCAAUCCGUAAGUUUCUUACCAAAGUUCUGACAAUAAACUUCAUCUCCUUCUCCCUGCAUGAACGCAUGAGAUUUACAAUGAGGCUCUUCUUUCGAACAGUGCUUCCAGUACCUGUCUUAUCUUUUGGAGAACAGAAAAAACAUCUUUUAUAAGAAGGUGAGGAGGAGGAGCAAGUAAUGUCUGUGUUUGUCGGCACACUUGAGCAACAUCACCUUUUACCCAUAAACAGAUAAUCAUUGUUUAGCAGAUUCCCCAAACAAGUCAGGAAAAAAGAAAACCAAUGAUAGUGGAGGAACAAUUAGAAAAACACUCAUUUAGUCAUUUGUUCCUACCAAGAUCCCCAAAACUAUUGUACAUAUCCCUUAUUUUAGACCGCUUUGCCCCACAUGCCUCUUCUAAUGAUGAAGUGACUAAGCCUCCACCAAUAUUGAGCUCCUGCAUCAUUAGCACAACAUGGUAUUCAUUACUUUCUUGUGCUCCAGAGAUCAGAAACAAUUCUUCAAUCUAUGUUUUCAUGGUCAGCAGCAAUCUUGUUUGUGCACAGAUACACAGCGGGUAGCACAUCCUCAGGAGACAACGCUAGCAAACUUCUGAACAUGUUGCACAACAUGGAAGUAGCUUUGAUCUUUCCUUUUUCAGCCUCAACCAGGUCAAAUGUUCGUGCAAGAUGGAUAUAUGGAGCAGGCUCUCCAACACUCCAGCAUGCAUGUUGUACAGGAUUGUAUUUUUCUACUGGUAGUGCAACAUGAGCUACAGCCACAUUUUCUGUCAAUGAUCUCUGUAUGGAAGGAUCAACCAUAUUCUUUCCCUCUUCUGAUACAGUUUUUUCCUGGGCACAAGAGCACUCAUUAAUAUCGUACUGAGGCUGAACCAAAUUGUCUGAUGCUGCCAAGUUCUCUACACUGUCAUCAAAGUUACCCUCCGGAUUACCAUAAUGCAUAUCUAAUGCCUUGUUAAUGUCUCCUUUGGUCCUCUUCAGGAUAGUGGUAGCAUAGCCUCUUGAUGAUUCAUUAAGGUCGGUUAUCUGAAUAAACCGAUCUAUCUCCUCUUUGUAUGAUUUUGUACCAUCAUUCUGCGUUGAAUUUUCUUCUGUAGAUUGAUCAGGUAUGAACCGGACCACACUACAAUGAGCAUCAGGAGCAAGUUUACUGAAGAACCUUGUAAUACUAGACUGCUUUGGCCCACCAGAUUCCAGUUUGGAAUUCGUUUUUGCUUUCUUGCCAACGUUCCUCUUCCUUUUUCCAGGAGUCAAGCUACUCUUGCUUGAAGACUUUAAGCUUGAUGACACAUAGUUUUGAUUUAAAGGUGUAAUACCUGAACUCUCUUGACUGCUCUUGAUAGAAACUGGAUUUGAAGGCGAUUCAGAUUCAUGGAGUGAAUCAGUCUGAGAAGAAGACGCAGAUGUCUUAUAAGGAAAGACUUGUUGAUGAAAUUCUGUUUCACGUUCAUAAAAAUUUGAAACUGCAUCAACAAAAUUCCCCCCUGAGCUUCUAAUCAAAUCUAACUUUUGGUCCCGAGUAACCCAUGAGGGCAAAGAAUCACCAAGUUCUUGCAUUAGUUUUUCUGUUUCUUCAUCAUUUGGUAUAGUUAAAUUUUGAGAACAAGGUUCUUGCUGAGUAGAUGAAGAGUUUAAAACAAAAUCUGCAUCCUCGUCUUCAAGGGCUUUCACUUCAGAUGACUUCACCUCUUUCUCCUGAUCCAGGCCCUCCUUCAACUCUAAGACAUCUUCCAUUCUAGUGUUUUCAUCAUUCUCACAUGACCCACUAUGAAAGCCCAUCAAAAAUUCUUUCUUGUUAGCCAUUUCAUCAACUAAACCAGCAAAAUGUUUCUGCAUUUUAAUAGCAUGCCUGCUAUCAAUUUUUUCAAUAUCCACACCAACUGUAGGAAUGACACGCUUAGGUCUCAAGAACUUCACAUACUCUCUAAGCUCAUCAUAAUUUGAAUGCUCACUAUAUGGCACAAGAUGGAUCUCAAAUGAAUCCUUUGACCUGACUGAGAAUUUAUUAUGCUUCACUUCAUAAGUCCAUCCAGUUGGCACAAAUCCCACAACCUUAGAAUACCCUCUUUCCACCAUUAUCUCAUUCAUUCUAACAAAAUUCGGCCGAAAGUAAGGCCACGUCUCUCCCAACACGUUCCACCCAACAACAUGAACAUCACUUUCACUCCCAUCCUCUGUAAAUAUCCCACUCUCCCCAUACCCCAAAACCCGCAAAACCUCCAUUUUCCUCCCAUCCACAUGCACCUUUCUUUUACACCUUUGCGCAAUCUCAAGCAAAAUCCUCUCCUUCCCAACCACAUAUGUGGCAACAAGAAACAACACUUUCUUUUCUUGACUCGUAAACUCCCCACCUAUUCUCUUGAUAACACUAACCAUAUGAUCAAUAGACUCCCCUUGCGAGGGAAAAACGUAUUUAGGAUGACAAUAAGUAGUAUCCAAGAAAAUCGCAUCACAACCAACAAAUUGGCUCAAUAGGCUAUUCUCUUUCAUCGAACCACUGUAUCUAAAAUCACCAGUGUGAAUAUACAUUUCAAAACUUUCUUGAUUCUUACCGGGAACCUUAAACAAGAACUGUACCGCCCCCGGGCAGUGAUUAGCAUCAACUAAUGCAACUUCAGAGCCAUCGAUAAUCACGGGCUUGAGCAGAGGCAAUGGAAAGACGAACUGCGAGGGAAUUUUGAGGACUAGGGUGAGGAGAUUGGCUGUAGUGGGAGAGCAGAAAAUGAGGCCUUGGGACCAAUUAGACGAAAGACCCGUGUAAUGGUCGGAGUGGAAAUGGGAAAGGAAGUAGGUAACGGAGGAGGUGGUGGAGAAGCGAAAUGCGUCGACGAGGAAGCGGGUAUUGGGUAUGAGCUUGGAGAGGGGGAGAGAGGAGGGGAGAGGGAGAGAGAAGGGUUGGUCAUGUGGAGGGAUUGGGAGGGAAAGGGAAGCAAGAGAGGUGUGGUAAAGGUGGAGAGAAUCUAGGGUUUUGUGUUUUUCCUUGGUGGAUUUGCAGGCUUCCAUUAGAAUUUGGGGGGCUUUGAGGAAAGAAGCAUUUUUGGUAAAAAUUGAUGCGAGUGGAACUAGUUUGAAGUAUUGGGGCUUGCGGGUUGUUUUAUAUGGAGAAUUUCGGCGCCAAAAGCAGAGUUGGGGACUAGUGAUGGUUAGAUUUC